rnacentral:rRNA from 1 species
AGCUUCGGCCAUCCGGCGAGGGAUGGGCCCGCGGUGCAUUAGCUAGUUGGUGGGGUAACGGCCCACCAAGGCGACGAUGCAUAGCUGGUCUGAGAGGAUGAUCAGCCACACUGGGACUGAGACACGGCCCAGACUCCUACGGGAGGCAGCAGCCAGGAAUCUUGGGCAAUGGGCGCAAGCCUGGCCCAGCAACACCGUGUGGGCGAUGAAGGCCUUCGGGUCGUAAAGCCCUGUUGAUAGGGACGAAGGGCGAAGGGUUAAUAGCCC